CAGCAGCCGCGGUAAUCCGUAGGUGGCAAGCGUUGUCCGGAAUUAUUGGGCGUAAAGGGCUCGCAGGCGGUUUCUUAAGUCUGAUGUGAAAGCCCCCGGCUCAACCGGGGAGGGUCAUUGGAAACUGGGAAACUUGAGUGCAGAGGAGGAGAGUGGAAUUCCACGUGUAGCGGUGAAAUGCGUAGAGAUGUGGAGGAACACCAGUGGCGAAGGCGACUCUCUGGUCUGUAACUGACGCUGAGGAGCGAAAGCGUGGGGAGCGAACAGGAUUAGAUACCCCGGUAGUCCCUGUCUCUUAUAC
rnacentral:rRNA from 1 species